UCGGUAUUGUGAUGAUACACAAUCCAAAUGCAUAGUUCAUCUGAAUUGUCUGAUGAAAACUUACCUUCACUUCUUUCGCUCCCAUCUGAUAUACCAA
rfam:Trichoderma virens Gv29-8 TRIVIscaffold_1, whole genome shotgun sequence.